GGCCGGAUAAGGCGCUCGCGCCGCAUCCGGCAAUCAAUGCCUGAUGCGACGCUGUCGCGUCUUAUCAGGCC
rfam:Escherichia coli str. K-12 substr. MG1655, complete genome.